rnacentral:rRNA from 1 species
AAUAUGGAGAGUUUGAUCCUGGCUCAGGAUGAACGCUGGCGGCGUGCUUAACACAUGCAAGUCGAACGGAGUACUUUCGGGUACUUAGUGGCGGACGGGUGAGUAACGCGUGAGGAUCUGCCUUCAGGAGGGGGACAACAGAGGGAAACUUCUGCUAACACCCCAUAUGCCGAGAGGUGAAAUAUUAAUAGCCUGAAGAUGAUCUCGCGUCUGAUUAGCUAGUUGGUGGGGUAAGGGCCUACCAAGGCGACGAUCAGUAGCUGGUCUGAGAGGAUGAUCAGCCACACUGGGACUGAGACACGGCCCAGACUCCUACGGGAGGCAGCAGUGGGGAAUUUUCCGCAAUGGGCGCAAGCCUGACGGAGCA